GGGAAAGUGUUGCGCGCACCCACUAGCCCGCUCAACUGUGCGUGGCGUCGUAGAAUCCCCUCAGCUACGGCCUGGCACGCGAGUGCCAGUUCGUAAGCGGAACAUUCGCCUCCCACCGUGGUAGCUCCUUCCCGCGCGAGCGUCCGUAUAGUGUUUACGGUCGGGGCGGACGGCACGGACGCCGACGGUUUGCGAGGAGCGUGCGUUUGCGGUGCGCGGGGUACUCGAUUUAGCCGCGUCCCCCGUCGGAGCCAAGACAGUUGGUUCUCCCUCGACCCAAAGGCGCGAAAAUUGGUGUCACCGGAGCGCUGGGUUUCUAGGCUCAGUCGCCCUUGAUCCUCGCCCUCGGCGCAGCGGAGGCGCCAAGAAGAGGAGGCACGUGCUCUCUGAGGGAGGUUGUGAAUCCGUUUACAUGCCGCCACCGAGCCGGCCAUCCCGCGCUGGCUGAUAAGGCUGAUUGCGGAAACGGGGAUGCCCUCUAUCUGGACCCGGAGCCCGGCUCUUUAUCGGCACCCUGCACCCUGCUCUUUGUUUAGCGAUGAUCAGUCGGAGAGUGAGGGGAAGUUACGCGUACUUUGCAGCCCUCGCGGCGCUUCUUCGUCCAUGACAGUAGGGGACACCACGCCGCCGCCACCAUCAUGGCUCUCAGAUUGAGCAGCCCUGCAUUAGUCUUGGCGAGAGGUCUGCUGCGGGAGACGCCGCGGUGCUGCCUAGAGCCGUUUCGAGUGCUGGGCUCGCGCCGUGAGGCGUCCUCGGCAUCGCUCAAGGAGCGUCUCACCCGCGACCUCGUGCUUCCGGUGCCGAACGGCCAGUUGGCCGGCAAGCAGUGGGGGCCCGACGACGGACAGCCAGUUCUGGCGCUGCACGGCUGGCUGGACAACGCGGCCGUCUUCGAACCGCUGGUGCCCUUCCUCAAGGCCGAGUUCAAGCUGGUGGCCCUCGACCUACCCGGACACGGCCUGUCCUCGCACCUUCCGGCCCGCGGUCACUACACCCUGGACAGCUACGUCGAGAGCGUGCUGUCGGCCGUCGACCACCUCAAGUGGGACACCUUCUCUGUCCUGGGUCAUGGCAUGGGCGCUGGCAUUGGCUACUACCUCGCCGCGCUACAGCCGGACAGGGUUCCUCGGCUUGCGUCCGUCGAGGGAUCCUUCCCGGCGACGUGCCCCAGCUUCGAGCCGCACGAGUGCGUGGGUGAAGAUGAGGACCAUCGCGAUUCGUACACCAGGCAGGAGGUCAUGGACGUCCUGGCAUCGAGAGGACACAGCGCCGCCUCGGCGGAGCUGCUCAUGGCAAGGGGCUGCACGCGCGUGUUCGGAGACCGCUACGUGUUCACGACCGACCGCCGAUUGAGGCACGCGCGGCCGCAGGGGCUCUACCCGGGCGUCUUCGACAGGACGCUUCCGCGCUACAGAAACAACCUGUUGGUGCUGCAGCGGGACUGCAGGCUCUCGGAUGGCGCAAGGCCGCACCUGGACGCCCUGGAGGCGAUCGUGCGCUGCCUCGGUGCCGAACAAUGCUCGCGCUUCAGCUACGUCGUGCUGGAGAGCGAGAACAACGGGCACGUGACUGAUCCGGACACGGUGGCGCGCAGGGUGAACGACUUCAUGUGCACAUGAACAAACUUUGCACCAAGAGGGUCUGGUGCAUGACGACACAGUUCUUUUUUUCUUUUUCCUGAUCAGGGAAGAACUAUAAGUUAUAACAUAUUGGGGGGAUCCUAUCCCGCGGUAUGCAAGCCAUGGAGAAAGGAAAGUUAAGAAGAAGUGUAGUUUGGAAUUAUUCAAGCAUAUAUACAUGUAUAUAUAGUCAAUACGAAAGAGGUAAUAAUCACAAUGGCGUGGCUUACUGGCGCCUUGGGAAGAAAAUUGUACAAAUGACGGCCGCAUGACGUCAUAGGAAUUAUCAUCACGUGACAGUUUCGAAGCGCAGUCAUAAAAUUAAGCAGAAGCAUUGCGUCAACGUCGUACAAAUGGCGAGCAGCGUCGGUGUCAAAUGAACAUGGCUUAUGAAGGCAUGGAGCCACGGUCACUAUUCUUUUUUUUUUUUUUUUUUUUGCGUCUACGUGAUACGGACAGGCACAUGGUCAAUUCACCGUGCCACUGUCCGUGCGCGCAGACGCCUUUUAUCUCCUCUCUGUUAUAACUCUAUAGUAAUUUAGUCCAAAGACACUCAGGUCCCGACACAGUAAGGAUGGUACUUGAUACUUAACAAUGCUGAAGAG
rnacentral:misc_RNA from 1 species